CAGCUGGUAGCGGCCAGUAAGGAGGCUAGUGCCAAGAUUCAGGAGCGAAAGGUUGAGGCCUGGAAUAGGGCCGAACCCCGAAGGCGGUUUUGAGGUAGAAAUUACGGGCCUUGCUUUGGGGUUGGGGCGUGGGGGUGGCGCUGGGUCUUGGCGCCUCGGUUGGGUGCGUGUUCUCCUACGCGCCACUAGGUGGGGCUGUCAUGGAAAGGAGGCCCCGUCCCUGCUCUCAGGAGACUUACAUUCCGCCAGGAGAAAGGUAGCGUAGCCCGCGAGGGCUGCAGUGCCCGUGCACGCAGGAACUCCCAAGAUAAAUGCACGUGGUGGUAAGUGCUCCGAAGAGAUUACACAGGGCGGGGGGGCGGGGGAGUGGCCUGGGAGACGUGGGAGCCACGACCUCAGUGCUAAGCAGGAGCCCGCCAUGCAGUAUUGCCGCCCUUGCUUCCCCUCAAAAGGUGGCAAACGCCUGCACCCCCUGCACCAAACUAACCAGCGAGGCGCGCUUGGCCUCCCUUCGAGAAGGGAAGCAGCGGUCGGGCCGGGGCGGAGGAGGGCCGGGCGCCAGAAGGGCCUUUGGGCUUGUACCGUGCAGGUGCCUGGGAGAUAAUGAAGCGGCGCUGACCCGGGCUGUGGAGGCCAGAGAGGCCUGCCACGGCGUCUGGAAGAACAUGGCACUUAGAAGAGGGCACAGGAGGACAAGCCAGCCACCACGGCGCGAGAAGAAGCCGCCGGAAAGGAUACGCGAGUUAAUUUUUCUGCCUCUGAAAUAACAGAUGAAGCUGGGAGAGGUUGGCUGUCUCCACGUUCAACCUAAAGCAGAUUCCGUGGGAGCAGCUUGGAUUGGUGGGAAAAGCCGUGGGAUCAGACUCAGAGUUGAAGUUCCACCUGCCCAGCUGUGUGACCUUGAGAAGUGACUGGCCCUCUCUGAACCUCGGUGUCCUCAACUAUGGAAUGGGCACGGUAGGUGGGUUGGACCUUCAGUAGUGAUUUUCUUUCUUAAACUAGCAAAUGGGCUGUCACCUUGUGAAAUCAUUUUUCACUUUAUAAAGAGAGUUGACACAGAACCUGUGAACUUGACCUUCCAUUUGUAACACCUGCAGUUUCUCAAGCAUGCAGUCGCUGCGUGGGCACAUGAGAAGACCUCCCACACCUGGAGAGGGCUUUCAUCUGUAUCCUAUCCUCAAGCUUCAGUUUGCUCAUCUGCAAAGGAGGGAUGUCAAUAAGGAUUGCUAGCUGUCUGAGUUGUAUUAAGAUUAACUGAUCAGGAGUUCCCGUCGUGGCGCAGUGGUUAACGAAUCCAACUAGGAACCAUGAGGUUGCGGGUUCGAUCCCUGCCCUUGCUCAGUGGGUUAACGAUCCGGCGUUGCCGUGAGCUGUGGAGUAGGUUGCAGACGCGGCUCAGAUCCCGCGUUGCUGUGGCUCCGGCGUAGGCUGGCAGCUACAGCUCCGAUUCGACCCCUCGCCUGGGAACCUCCAUAUGCUGCAGGAGUGGCCCAAAGAAAUAGCAAAAAAAAAAAAAAAAGAUUAACUGAGCAGUUUAGAUGCUUUUGUUAGCAGUGCAAGUAACAAAAUUCCCAGCUUAAACUGAAGAGUGUCUUUAAGUUUCCUUAGAUUGUAUGGUCUCACAUAAGAGGCAGUCCAGGUGGGUUGGAUCCCAUGUUGUCAUCAGAAGCAUAGGUUCUUCCAAACUCUGCUCUGCCGAAUGGAUGGAUGGCUCCAUUCUUCCUUCUCAGGAUGAAAACAAGAUGGCACCAGGAGGCCCUAGAAUCAUGUUCAAACAUAGAAACAUCUCUCAGAGGACCGGGGCCUUUCCUGCAGCACAGUUUUUAGGAAGAAGAAAACUAUGUUUAGCAGCGGGCCUGCCCUCAUAUUGACCUGUCCAGAGUUCCGUUACCUGACCUGUCUGACCCAAUUCUUGCCAGGCAGGGGGUGGGGGGGCGGGUGUCAAACUCCUCAAGGAUCAGGGCUCUUGAGGAGGGCAAAUAACUGAUCCAAAACAGAGUUUUCUUGAAAAGAACAAGUGCAUUUCUGUUGGGUUCUCCUAGAAGCAGAAUUUGAACUGCUAAAGAAACACCAGCCGAAGGAUGAGGCAUUGGGACAGACACGGGGAGACAGCCAGUGACAGUGCGUUAUCAGGCCAGUAGCCUCUGUGGGCACCUGGAACUUAAUCCAGUGAAAAACCUGAGGAUGAUAUAGAACCCACCUCGGGGGCGCCCUGACCAGGGGCCAAGGAAGCUAUUUCUCCACCAGCAACCCCUUCCUUACGGAUGCAGGGCUACUUCCAGUGUCACGAACCCAGCAUUCUGGCUGGCUCUGGGGACAAACCUAGCAAGUUCCAUUAGGUCAGGAAAAAGCCCUCAGGCAGAGGAGGGCAGGUGUUUGCCAGUAGAGGGGAGCCCUGAAGGGCUGUGGAAGGGGCACUAACAGCACGUGAAACCCAGGGAUGAAGCCUGUGUUUGCAGCCAGCAGCACGAGCUCUUUUCAGCCAGAGAAAAGAGUUGAUCUUCUUAGGUGAACGAGGCUGAGCAGCCCUUCUUCACCUGAGCCACAAGAUAUGCAGCAAUGUGGUCAUCACUCGGAUAAAGGCCCAAGGACGUUUCAAGUGCACGCUCUCCAGAUCUGUUCUUUCUGGGUCAUCUCUCUUAGGAGCACCCUGAAAUCCUGGGGAUGUUAAGGCAAAGAAAAUAAUGACAUUAGCACUGCCACUACUGCUAACAGCUACUACUUUACAAAAAAGUGACGUGGAGUGGACAAAGUUUUGUGUUAGUUUCUAUAAAUCACAGCCCAGCAAAAUGAUUCAGUUAUACUAAUAUAUAUAAUUUUUUGUAUAUAUUCUUUUUCCUAUUCAUUCCCAUUAUGGCUUAUCAUAG
rnacentral:lncRNA from 1 species